CGACGCUCUCAGUAUAUAAGAAUGUUUAUUCAGAAAUUAUUACAUUGCAAACGAAAUUAAUUUAAAAUGAAGUUGUGUUUGAUUGCUAUGUGUUUGGCUGUUGCUACGUGCAUUGAUGGACAGGGGUUUCCUACAGCAAAAUGUCCUCCAGGCGAACAUUCCGUCCUGUAUUGCCCAGAAAGAGCGGAACCAGAUUGUGACAACCCUACAGUCCAUAACCUCAAGGGACCAGCUGCGUGUGGCCGACCUCAGUGCUUCUGUAACACCCCGAAUGUCAGAAACCUGAAAACUGGGAAAUGCAUACCUCUUUCGAAAUGCUAAGCGAUAUUUUUAGUCAAAAAUAAAUCAAUAAAUAAAUA